UGCAUCGGCCGGGAAUCGAACCCGGGGCCACCCGCGUGGCAGGCGAGCAUUCGACCACUGAUCCACCGAUGC
rnacentral:tRNA from 1 species